AGGUAGGCAUCCAGGCAGGUCUUGAACAUCUCCAGAGAAGGAGACUCCACCACCUCCCUGGGCAGCAUUGUGAUGCUUGAUGACUUUUGUGCAGAUCUCAUCACCAUUUCCUGUUAUUUUGCAAAGACAUCUUAUAGCUAAGACAGCACAUCUACGAAUGUAUUAGACAGAUGAAGACUAUUUGACUCUCCAGUUUCAACCCAGUUUGACAAGUGGAUGAGGCUGUCAGAGCUGCUGGGCCUGAAGAUGUUCUUCUAACUGAGAAGUGCUAUAAGAGUCUCUUCUAGACGAGAUGUCAGACUAGAAUGGACAGGUGCCGAACCAGAGCAGCAAAAGCAGACUGUGAAACUCAGUGAUGCUACUGCCAUCUCCAGCUGUCCUCCUCUCAUGCUCCCCCACAGGCAGCUUGCUUGGAUAGUGGACUCUAGGGAACACAUGUACUGCUGCCGGCGUCUCUCCACACCCACUCUGUGUGAUGACUACAGAAUCAUUUUAAUCAAGAAUGAAGACUACAUAAUUCAAGCAACAGGGUCAAAAGUCUGAUGUCUACAGGGAAAGUGCAUUGGUUUAACUUCAGUCAGAUUUUAAAUCUUGGUUUUAAGGCUUGGCUAAAUAAUUAGGUCAAACCACUGCAACAUUCCCACGUAACUAAGGCCUUAAAAAAGAAUUUUAAAGAUAUAUAUCUCAGUUAAAUACUUUAGCUACAGUCUGAAACGUAUUGAAGUCAAUGAGACAGGAAAGCAAGCUGCCAACAAGAUACACUCUGAAGUGUCUUUCUGAAUCAGUGGCUUCAUUCUGCUCUAAGGAACACACCUCCAUUUCAGCAAAAGUCAUCAUAGGAUCAUGCAACAGCCUAGCUUAAGACAGACCAAAACCACAGAGAUGUCUGCAUAAAUAUUCGGAUAACUGCCAUAUGCCGUGUGAUCGUGGCUGCUCCACUAUCCCGAAGCAUUCUAACUAGUACAAUGCCAUGAGCUGUUAUCAAGUUUUCCAGCAGGAUAGAUGGGCGUGUAAGACAAUGCCAGCUGUUCCUGCAUGUUUAAACACUGUAUGAUCUCCAUGUGCUUUGCUGGGUCUGUUGUUGCUUGCCUGGACUGAGGGAGCUAUCUCCAAGCCUUAAUUCCCUCACCUGCAAACAGUCUUCUUGUAACUGGGAACUCAUGAUGUGAAUGAAGUCAGCAACAGCAUUUCGUAUGCAGCUUUUCCUGAGCAGAUUAUACUGACUGUGAAGAAAUCAAACUCUUCUAUCUUGCAUAAAAUUAUUGAUUGAUGCAUUUUCUUAGAUCUCUGCCAGUCCACGAAGCCUACGAGAGGACAGUGCUACAAAGGCUGCAGGAGAGUGCUGCAGGAAGCUGGAGGGAACAGAUUCUCAGCUAUACAUUCCAUUACAAAGAGACCGUGAUGAAACACGAGAGGACUGCAGACUGUUCCAGCUGAGAAUAAAGAAAUAAAAAACAGUGCCAUCUUGUGGCCUACAGUAUUCUGAGCAUUGCCAAGAGGAAAGAGGAAAAUCUUUUACACUAAGAAAAAAAUACAGAUAACUUCUGGUCAAACAAGAAAACCAUAACAGAAGAACAUUAAUGGCAAGACAAAGGACCUGAACAAUACCACACUUUGGCCAGAGUACAGAAAUCAAAGCUCUACAAAAUGUACUGGGAGCAACAGGCAGGUUGAUAUCCUUUCCAUGAGCAAUAGGUGGCUUAGAUGAGAAACGGUAUUGCACACGUAUGAUUAGAUUGCCAAACAAGAUGACAGAAUGUUUUCUUCGGCAUUACAUGGCUAAAAUGACUUUAUCAUUUUGUACUAUACUGCCUUAAGCAAUAACCUGAGCAUGAGAUCUGUGCAGAUAUAUCUAGGCUUAAAGUCUGGAAAUCCUAGCUGAAUCAAAAAGUCUUCACGACUAUUUAUCUCCAGAGUUUAUGUUCUGUAUCGUUUUACUAGUGAUUCCUCUUUCCCAGCUGUGUGUCUUCUGCCUUAUCCAGACAGAACUAGAUCUAGUUACCCCUUUCUGGAAACCUCUGUAAUGUAUUCUUUGUGAUAUCCAAAUUAUAUCAUUGGUGACAUUAAUGGCAAAUGGGACCCAUUAGAAGGCGUCACAAGUGAGUUGUCAGAUGUUGAGGCCAUGACUUCUCCCUAUCUCUCCAGAUGACAGUGAGUAAAUAUUUUGAGGUAAGGGAUUUAGAUAGAAGUCUUUGAUCUUCUUGUGUGCGCUGCAGAAGCUUCUGAACUCAAACAGAGAUGGGCAGACAUCAAUCAUGCUAACAGACAGCUGUCACAAGAAGCAAUGCCACUUAUAAUUGGAAGUACAAUCCUUCUUCGAGUGCUGAAAUCUGGCUAAGAAGAUGAAAAUGUUCUUCCUGUCUUCUGCUGAGCUUCAAGGGAAAGGGAAGAGGGAAUUCAACUUGCUGGCAUCAUCCCCAGGCAAUUUUAUUGACUGUGUGGCUGUCAAAGGGGACUGACCGAAAGAUCAGAGAUGACCUGAUUGACCGGAUGGAAGAAUGAUCUUAGGAACUGGACUUCGGAUCUGAGCUCUCUCUUCUACAUCUGACAGAAGAAGCCAAAAAUCUUUCUACUGUCACCUCUCAGCUGUAGCUCACAGUAGGCAGUACAAUUCAGUACCAUAGGUCUCUGGGCAUAAUGCCCCUUGGUGGAACUGGCCGUUCCAUACCUGGCACUGCCCUGAUCUCCCUAGAUCUCAAGUCAAAGUCAGAAGCACGGAGAGUUCCCUGAUGCUCCAAGUGCAAAUAUCUACUGACGUUCUAGAAACUGUGUGUUUUAACCUGCUUGAUAUCAUAGCAAUGAAUUGUUCAUAAAAAAUACUGCUUUCUGCUAGCAUUAGACCUAGGAUUAAAGUUGAAUUAAUUCCUUUUUUGAACUCAGUAUGAACUUCAGACCCAAGAUGAAAUAUCUUAUUGUGUCUGUAUGAAGAUAUGAGGAAUGCAAAGAAGCUCAAGGCAAGUGAAGUAAAUUUUGAGCUAUUGAGGUAAAUAGAAAAGCUGCUGUAACUACACUAGAGUCAGAAUUCCCUAGCAUGUGACGAAGUGGCAUGUUUUAAUAUUUGUGCUAAACAAUGACAACCAACAUAUCAGGUCAUCUUUAUGAGAAAGCAGCGUGGCUGAGAAGGCCAUUAAAAUGAAAUCAAGGCUUGAAAUAAUCACUGAAUAACUUUCUAUUGGAAGAUGAAAGUACUAUCACAACUAAGAAAAAAAUACUAACAAUUAGUAAUUUUACAAAGUGUCACAUUACUCAGAAUUUAUUAACUCAGAGCAAUUAAGACAACAAAUCUGUCACUGCCUCAUGCAUUUGUGGUGGAGUUCCUUAUAAGAAGUCUCUUCUUUUUUAAAUCGAUGAACUUUGUUCAGUGAUUCCUGGCACUAGGUGCAUCAUUACAAAUAUUUCUAAAAUGAGGAAGAUCCUUGUCUAGAUGAGAGCUGAAAGCAAAUAGCUGAAACAAGAAAGCAGUUGCAACAUCUCAAUACAGCAUUCUUAUUAUGGCAAUUUAUAUUAAAAUGUCACUUAGAGAACCACAAAGGCCUCCUCAUAUUCCCAAACUGUACCCUGUACCUGUCUGUCUGCCUUGCCUUCAUCUGCAUCAAAUAAUGAGUGAUGUUUCACUUGAAAAUCUUUAGAGCAAUGAAUCAAAACACCUGUAAUAGAAAACAGAAAUAAAGUAUUUCCCACAAGUUAUGAGAAGUUUUUGCAAGGGAGAAAUUGGCUAAGGAGUCUUUUUCUAGCUUUAACUGCUAGAAUGAUUUUGGAAAGUAGGACUGUGUGCUGAGUGGUAGGUACAUAUUUUUGCCUACCAUAGGCAAAUUGAAGAGAUACAGUAUUUAUCAUUUUAUUGACACGUUGACAAAUAACAAAGUCUACAGGGUUUUCUUUCUCCUGAAGACUUUAUACUACAGCCCAAUCAUUUAUGUGUGCCAAUAUACUUUACAACUCUACUGUGAAGUUGGCUGUGAAAAGAGUAUCAAAGUAUUGGGGUUAGUGCAAAGCGGUGAUUUAAAACAAGAGAGAGAGAAUGGAGCUUUCAAAUCUUCUUCAGAUUAUAUCCAUUAAAUCUGAUUGCAAAGAAGAGGUUCAAAGAAAACAAUUUUAAUCAGACUACUGGGGCUGAGAACACCUUUCUUAAAAAAAAAAAGAAUACAUGGAGUCUUAAUUUUCUUCAAAGGAAGGGUCAAUUAAAAUAAAUACUUUUAAUUCUUUACAGCAACCUUUUUCUGUUGGAUUAACUUCAAUUAAUCCUUCAUCUUCUAAGUUGCAUUGGCACAAAAAUCUAAUGUCUUUAUUUUCAGAGGAACAUUGCAAAACUCUAUCAUGUGUCCUUGUGCAAAGAACUUGAAGGAUCUCAUACACACAGAGUGAGAGCACCAAAACCAACUUUCAUGAAUUACAUAGUUUUUUUUUUACAAGUAUGGUCACUCCUCAGAAUUUUCCAGAGUUACUUUCUUUGUGAUUCUCUCUGAGCCUGGCUCUAUCAGUCCAAUAACCAGUUUACUCAUAGCAGUGAACAAAACACAUAAUCCACUGCUUCUUUGGAAAAUGAACUCUGGAUGUACAUCACUACUGAACCUCUGUUACGUAUAAAGCAGGCUGUGUAAACAAAAUCCCAGCGAUUACAUUUCACCCACCACCUUUCUUAAAAUAAAGAGUACAAUUUUGAACAGUCGGUUCAGAGAGAAACAACAGGGUGAGGAGAGCUAUCUUCCUUCUUCUUCAAUGGGAAUGUUUGCUUCAGUUCAGACUCAGCAGGCCGAAAGACAA